AAGACUGCGAGCCUUCACGGUUAUGAAUGCUACACAUGCGAAACGUAAUGAGCCUCUUCUCUACUACUUUGGUUGAACUUGCACGUACAGCUUGGCAUCAGAAACUGCCAAUCCUCC